UACGAAGGGGGCGAGCGUUGUUCGGAAUUACUGGGCGUAAGGGCGCGCAGGCGGCCUUAGAAGUCAGAUGUGAAAGCCCCGGGCUCAACCUGGGAAUGGCAUUUGAUACUCUGAGGCUGGAGUACGGGAGAGGAGAGUGGAAUUCCCGGUGUAGCGGUGAAAUGCGUAGAGAUCGGGAGGAACAUCAGUGGCGAAGGCGGCCCUCUGGACCAGUACUGACGCUGAGGCACGAAAGCGUGGGGAGCAAACAGG
rnacentral:rRNA from 1 species